rnacentral:rRNA from 1 species
UACGGAGGGGGUUAGCGUUGUUCGGAAUUACUGGGCGUAAAGCGCACGUAGGCGGACUGGAAAGUUGGGGGUGAAAUCCCAGGGCUCAACCCUGGAACUGCCUCCAAAACUAUCAGUCUAGAGUUCGAGAGAGGUGAGUGGAAUUCCAAGUGUAGAGGUGAAAUUCGUAGAUAUUUGGAGGAACACCAGUGGCGAAGGCGGCUCACUGGCUCGAUACUGACGCUGAGGUGCGAAAGUGUGGGGAGCAAACAGG